rnacentral:rRNA from 1 species
CCACCGGAGCUUGCUCCACCGGAAAAAGAAGAGUGGCGAACGGGUGAGUAACACGUGGGUAACCUGCCCAUCAGAAGGGGAUAACACUUGGAAACAGGUGCUAAUACCGUAUAACAAUCGAAACCGCAUGGUUUUGAUUUGAAAGGCGCUUUCGGGUGUCGCUGAUGGAUGGACCCGCGGUGCAUUAGCUAGUUGGUGAGGUAACGGCUCACCAAGGCCACGAUGCAUAGCCGACCUGAGAGGGUGAUCGGCCACAUUGGGACUGAGACACGGCCCAAACUCCUACGGGAGGCAGCAGUAGGGAAUCUUCGGCAAUGGACGAAAGUCUGACCGAGCAACGCCGCGUGAGUGAAGAAGGUUUUCGGAUCGUAAAACUCUGUUGUUAGAGAAGAACAAGGAUGAGAGUAACUGUUCAUCCCUUGACGGUAUCUAACCAGAAAGCCACGGCUAACUACGUGCCAGCAGCCGCGGUAAUACGUAGGUGGCAAGCGUUGUCCGGAUUUAUUGGGCGUAAAGCGAGCGC